GAAAUACUCCUCCCGUCCCAAAAUUCUUGUCUUAGAUUUGUCUAAAUACGGAUGUAUGAAGUCACGUUUUGGUAUUAGAUACAUCUGUAUCUAGACUAAUCUAAGACAAUAAUUUUGGGAUGGAGGGAGUAUAAG
rfam:Triticum urartu cultivar G1812 contig249280, whole genome shotgun sequence.